GGGAGAUGCUAUAUCAUGACCCCUUGCUCCCCCAAAGAAAUCCUCAAAGAAUCCAUCUCCAUGAAUUCAGUCAAGUUGGCCUCUAAUUUUCAAGAAUGAUAAUUACUUUACAGCAGGAGUGAAGGGCUCUCAAAAUCAUCCAUAGUGAUUUUUUUUUUUUUUUUUUUUUGAGAUGGAGUCUCUCUCUGUCGCCCAGGCUGGAGUGCAGUGGCGCGAUCUCGGCUCACUGCAAGCUCCGCCUCCCGGGUUCACGCCAUUCUCCUGCCUCAGCCUCCCGAGUAGCUGGGACUACAGGCGCCCGCCACCACUCCUGGCUAAUUUUUUGUAUUUUUAGUAGAGAUGGGGUUUCACCGUGUUAGCCAGGAUGG
rnacentral:lncRNA from 1 species